UACGUAGGGGCUAGCGUUAUCCGGAAUUACUGGGCGUAAAGGGUGCGUAGGCGGUCUUUCAAGCCAGAAGUGAAAGGCUACGGCUCAACCGUAGUAAGCUUUUGGAACUGUAAGACUUGAGUGCAGGAGAGGAGAGUGGAAUUCCUAGUGUAGCGGUGAAAUGCGUAGAGAUUAGGAAGAACACCAGUGGCGAAGGCGCUUCUCUGGACUGUAACUGACGCUGAGGCUCGAAAGCGUGGGGAGCAAACAGGAUUAGAUACCCCUGUAGUCCCU
rnacentral:rRNA from 1 species